CAGCAGCCACGGUAAUACGAAGGGGGCUAGCGUUGCUCGGAAUUACUGGGCGUAAAGGGAGCGUAGGCGGAUCGUUAAGUUGGGGGUGAAAGCCCGGGGCUCAACCUCGGAAUUGCCUUCAAUACUGGCGAUCUUGAGUAUGGAAGAGGUAUGUGGAACUCCGAGUGUAGAGGUGAAAUUCGUAGAUAUUCGGAAGAACACCAGUGGCGAAGGCGACAUACUGGUCCAUUACUGACGCUGAGGCUCGAAAGCGUGGGGAGCAAGCAGGAUUAGAUACCCCAGUAGUCCCUGUCUCUUAUAC
rnacentral:rRNA from 1 species